rnacentral:rRNA from 1 species
AGAGUUUGAUCCUGGCUCAGAACGAACGCUGGCGGUACGCUUAACACAUGCAAGUCGUACGAGAAAAUCUCUUCGGAGGUGAGUAGAGUGGCGCACGGGUGAGUAACGCGUAGAUAACCUACCUUUUAACCUGGGAUAACAUCUCGAAGGGGGUGCUAAUACCGGAUAAUACUAUGAGUCGAGUGUCUUAUAGUUGAAAGAUUUAUCAUUAAAAGAUGGGUCUGCGUACCAUUAGCUAGUUGGUAGGGUAAUGGCCUACCAAGGCGACGAUGGUUAGCGGGUUUGAGAGGAUGAUCCGCCACACUGGAACUGAGACACGGUCCAGACUCCUACGGGAGGCAGCAGUGGGGAAUUUUGCGCAAUGGGGGAAACCCUGACGCAGCAAUACCGCGUGAGUGAAGAAGGCCCUUGGGUCGUAAAGCUCUUUUAUAAGGGAAGAUAGUGACGGUACCUUAUGAAUAAGCACCGGCUAACUCCGUGCCAGCAGCCGCGGUAAUACGGAGGGUGCAAGCGUUGUUCGGAUUCACUGGGCGUAAAGGGCGCGUAGGCGGCAUCAUAAGUUAAGGGUGAAAUCCCGGGGCUCAACCCCGGAACUGCUCUUAAAACUGUGGAGCUAGAGAUAGUCAGAGGCGGGUAGAAUUCCUAGUGUAGAGGUGA